rnacentral:rRNA from 1 species
GGCGGCAGGCUUAACACAUGCAAGUCGAGCGCACUCUUCGGAGUGAGCGGCGGACGGGUUAGUAACGCGUGGGAACGUGCCCUUCUCUAAGGAAUAGCCACUGGAAACGGUGAGUAAUACCUUAUACGCCCUUCGGGGGAAAGAUUUAUCGGAGAAGGAUCGGCCCGCGUUAGAUUAGAUAGUUGGUGGGGUAAUGGCCUACCAAGUCUACGAUCUAUAGCUGGUUUUAGAGGAUGAUCAGCAACACUGGGACUGAGACACGGCCCAGACUCCUACGGGAGGCAGCAGUGGGGAAUCUUGGACAAUGGGCGCAAGCCUGAUCCAGCCAUGCCGCGUGAGUGAUGAAGGCCUUAGGGUCGUAAAGCUCUUUCGCCAGAGAUGAUAAUGACAGUAUCUGGUAAAGAAACCCCGGCUAACUCCGUGCCAGCAGCCGCGGUAAUACGGAGGGGGUUAGCGUUGUUCGGAAUUACUGGGCGUAAAGCGCACGUAGGCGGAUCAGAAAGUAUAGGGUGAAAUCCCAGGGCUCAACCCUGGAACUGCCUUGUAAACUCCUGGUCUUGAGUUCGAGAGAGGUGAGUGGAAUUCCGAGUGUAGAGGUGAAAUUCGUAGAUAUUCGGAGGAACACCAGUGGCGAAGGCGGCUCACUGGCUCGAUACUGACGCUGAGGUGCGAAAGUGUGGGGAGCAAACAGGAUUAGAUACCCUGGUAGUCCACACCGUAAACGAUGAAUGCCAGACGUCAGCAAGCAUGCUUGUUGGUGUCACACCUAACGGAUUAAGCAUCC